rnacentral:rRNA from 1 species
UACGGAGGGUGCAAGCAUUGAUCGGAAUUACUGGGCGUAAAGGGCGCGUAGGCGGUUGAAAAGUCAGAUGUGAAAUUCCGGGGCUCAACCCCGGAGCUGCAUUCGAAACUAUUCAACUAGAGUACAGUUAGGGUAAACGGAAUUCCACGUGUAGCGGUGAAAUGCGUAGAUAUGUGGAAGAACACCGGUGGUGAAGACGGUUUACUGGGCUGAAACUGACGCUGAGGCGCGAAAGCUAGGGGAGCAAACAGGAUUAGAAA